UACGGAGGGUGCAAGCGUUAUCCGGAUUCACUGGGUUUAAAGGGUGCGUAGGUGGGUCUGUAAGUCAGUGGUGAAAUCCCCGAGCUUAACUUGGGAACUGCCGUUGAUACUAUAGAUCUUGAAUAUCGUGGAGGUAAGCGGAAUAUGUCAUGUAGCGGUGAAAUGCUUAGAUAUGACAUAGAACACCAAUUGCGAAGGCAGCUUACUACACGAUCAUUGACACUGAGGCACGAAAGCGUGGGGAGCGAACGGG
rnacentral:rRNA from 1 species